CAUGCUGGAGGGAUGACUCGCGGUGAGUGAGAAAGUAAGGGAAUAUUAAAUCUCUGUUUUGCAGCAGAUUAUAGGUCCUACAAAAGCAGUAUUUGUCGGUUGCUUACACACCUAUUUAUAAUUAUAAGAGUUCCACUAUGGCAUGUGAAGUAGAGCAUUAUGCUCCAACUUGCGAGGGCCUAUGACGUAGAAUCAAACAUUCUCAAGGUCGACGCAGGAGACAUCCGCGUUAUCGCUGAACUGAUCGGCAGUAUAUUCGGCAUACCUUCUAGAGGGGACCCAAUCCCGGAACUGUAGAAGAAAAAUGCAUCCCCUCUAGCACUUAAGAGACAGUUCCAGAAGAAAACAACAACACAACUACAGGACUUUGUCUUUGCUUGUCCAAUGGAGACCGAGCAACAAAGGAUGACUUUUAGACGAUACUUUAUCCUCGUGGUUUUGAAGAUGUUUCUUUACCCCACAAGCCAGCAGACUAUUUCCCCAUGGCACCUCCCUCCGAUUUUGGAUGUUUCGAACCCAAGAAGAUUCCACUAGCCGUAUCAGAUAUUAAAGUGGUUGCGAGAUGCAAUAAGAAAAAUUCUAAAAUGAGAACUGAGAAACAUGCAGCGGGUGCAUGUUCAUGUUGCUGGUUCUGUAGUUUCAUUGCUUAAAGCAUGGUCCGUUACAUGCAUGUCAAGCACCCGAGCCUUGGAUUGAUGAAUGGACCGCUAAUGAACUUGAUAAGAAGGCCGACCAUGUUAUUUCACAGGGAUGCAUCGUGGACAAGGCAAGGAAGGGGAAAAAAAAGAAGAAAGCAGCUAGUUAUAAAGCAGAAAAUGAAAAAGCAAGAAGGCUGAGCAAGGACUCCGAACAAGCACCAUCUACCUGGAGCAGGACCAAAUCUCAGCAUAGAGAUAUGGAUGCGCAGAAGGAAUGUAGGCCUGGUAGGAGGAGAAAGUUGCCUAUUCGCAGAAGCUGAUCUGGAAGCAGCAUUAAAAAAGCACUUCUAGGAAAGAGUGUCCCAAAAAGCAAGGGGACAUCCUAUGAAGAGCAUGGAUACUUAACUCGUCCUUGAACAAAGAGCAACAUUUGGCAUCCUAUGAAGGCCGGGGAACAUCUGGUAUUACAAAGGAAGGACUUAUGGACCUUGAAAGCCCGCAGUUGGGUCAACAGCACGGUCAUUCAAUGGAUGUGUUACCCUUCAACGACACCGAAUCAUCUAUAUUCAAGCGAGAUUUCUAUUGCGUGUGUCCAGGGAUAUUAGUAAUUACACUCUACUGAUUACAAUAUGUUUAGAUUUUGUAAGGAUUCUUACUAGUUGUGGGUUUGCAGGAAUCAGUCACAUGAAAUGAUAAUCUGCAUCAUUCAUUGACGGUGCAAGUCCAAUAUAUGUGGGGCUUGGUCCAAGCUUUGGUGAGAAUAAUAGGUUCUUUGACAAAGUCGAAGCUGAAAAGAGAAAAUGGGUCACUUGUAAUCUUUUUUAAAUACACUGC